rnacentral:rRNA from 1 species
UACAGAGGUCCCGAGCGUUGUUCGGAUUCACUGGGCGUAAAGGGUGCGUAGGUGGCAUGGUAAGUUUGAUGUGAAAGCUCAGGGCUCAACCCUGAAAUGGCAUUGAAUACUAUCGUGCUGGAGGUUUGGAGGGGGGACUGGAAUUCUUGGUGUAGCAGUGAAAUGCGUAGAUAUCAAGAGGAACACCAGUGGCGAAGGCGAGUCCCUGGACAAUACCUGACACUGAGGCACGAAAGCCGGGGGAGCAAACAGG